AUCUACAGUUCUCCGGGCUGCCACCCCCCCCCCACCCCCCGCGGCUUCUCUCAGGUCCUAAAACAGCAAGAGGACUCAUGCUUUGUCUGAGAUGAGCAAAGGACCUUUAUCUGGCAAUUCACCACUAAACCAGCUGUCUUAGGGGCAAGGGUGGAACAUGGUCUUCAGAAGAAGUGGAGGAACAUGAGGACCUGGCCUAGAGCAAACUUCUACUGGUUCUGUGUAGGCUGAGCAGCAAAGUGCCAGAGACCGAAUGCAUCUUGCCAGGAGAGUGAACUACAGUGUUACUGGAUUAAAGGUAUAUGAAAAGGCACUGCUAUGACUAGACAACUGAGCAUGACGUGAGGUUUUCCUUAAUUCCAGUGAAAACAACUUUUAGAUUGGAUGGCAACGUUCCCUUGAAGUCUGCAACUUGAGGACUAUGCUAGAGCAU